UACGGAGGGUGCAAGCGUUAUCCGGAUUCACUGGGUUUAAAGGGUGCGUAGGUGGGCAAGUAAGUCAGUGGUGAAAUCUCCGGGCUUAACCCGGAAACUGCCGUUGAUACUAUUUGUCUUGAAUAUUGUGGAGGUAAGCGGAAUAUGUCAUGUAGCGGUGAAAUGCUUAGAUAUGACAUAGAACACCAAUUGCGAAGGCAGCUUACUACACAGUUAUUGACGCUGAGGCACGAAAGCGUGGGGAUCAAACAGG
rnacentral:rRNA from 1 species